AUUGAACGCUGGCGGCAGGCCUAACACAUGCAAGUCGAACGAGUGGCGGACGGGCGAGUAAUGUCUGUGCAACUGCCCGAUGGAGGGGGAUAACUACCGGAAACGGUAGCUACUACCGCAUACCUUCGGAUGGGGCGAGAUGGGAUUAUCUAGUCGGUGGGGUAACGGCUCACCAAGGCGACGAUCCCUAGCUGGUCUGAGAGGAUGACCAGCCACACUGGAACUGAGACACGGUCCAGACUCCUACGGGAGGCAGCAGUGGGGAAUAUUGGACAAUGGGCGAAAGCCUGAUGCAGCCAUGCCGCGUGGGUGAAGAAGGUCUUCGGGUUGUAAAGUACUUUCAGCGAGGAGGCGUUACCCGCAGAAGAAGCAUCGGCUAACUCCGUGCCAGCCGCCGCGGUAAUAC
rnacentral:rRNA from 1 species